rnacentral:sRNA from 1 species
GCUGGGCACAGUGGUGCAUGCCUGUAAUCCCAGCAGCUUGGGAGGCUGAGACAGGAGGAUCACAAGUUCAAAGCCAGCCUCAGGAAAAGUAAGGUGCUAAGCAACUCAGUGAGACCCUGUCUCUA